rnacentral:rRNA from 1 species
UAUUGCACAAUGGGGGAAACCCUGAUGCAGCGACGCCGCGUGAAGGAAGAAGUAUUUCGGUANGUAAACUUCUAUCAGCAGGGAANNAANNNANGGUACCUGACUAAGAAGCCCCGGCUAACUACGUGCCNNNANACGCGGUAAUACGUAGGGGGCAAGCGUUAUCCGGAUUUACUGGGUGUAAAGGGAGCGUAGGCGGUUUAGCAAGUCAGAAGUGAAAGCCCGGGGCUCAACUCCGGGACUGCUUUUGAAACUGUUGAACUAGAUUGCAGGAGAGGUAAGUGGAAUUCCUAGUGUAGCGGUGAAAUGCGUAGAUAUUAGGAGGAACACCAGUGGCGAAGGCGGCUUACUGGACUGUAAAUGACGCUGAGGCUCGAAAGCGUGGGGAGCAAACAGG